rnacentral:tRNA from 1 species
UGCCUGGUGGUCCAGUGCUUAGGACUUGGCACUUUCACAGCUGAGGGCCAGGUUCAAUCCCUGGUUAGGGAA